UAACAUAUCCCUGGAUGAGAGGUGGUGUC
rnacentral:piRNA from 1 species